UAUUGUGGAUGAACUAGUUUAUGAUUAAAGUCUUGAGGAAUAGUGCUCAAACCGCGAGAUCAUUUAAUAUAAACCCCUGAUAAAUUUUUAUAAAAAAUACGAAGUAUACUUUCUCCGUUUUUAUAAUAUACGACUGGUAGGUUUUUAACACAGAGUUUGAAUAAAAAAUCAGAGUAAAAACGUAAAAUUAAUAAAGAUAAAGAUCCCAGAUUAAUCUCUCUCACUAGUGUUUAUGUUUAUAAUUUUCUUUUGUAUUAACAAUUCAUUUAUCUUUUCUUAUAUAAAAAAUUAUUUAACUUAUUUAAUUUCUUCCUUAAAAAAAAAAAUCCUUAAAUUGGGUGUCCUAAGACUAUAUAAGUCAACUAGUAAUUAGUAAAUAGUUAAAUACUCCUCUCUUGUAUGAAUAACAGUGCCGAAAACUAUAUAAACAAGUACUCAAAUCUUAAAUUAGUAUUUAGUAGUCUUUCAAAAAAAAAAAAAAAAUAAUCUUAAAUUAGUAGAAUUGAAUCUCUAUUUCCAUACUUGACAUUCCUCUGUUCUGAAUUCUGAUCUCCUCCAAUGUCAAACCCUAAUUCUAACGCAAACACAAACCCAAAUGUAGAAGAAGAUCUUGAUCUUGAUCUUGAUCUUGUUCUUGAAUUAGUCCCUCGAAUCAGAAUGGAUUUCGGAAUUGUACCAGUAAAAGGCGGUUACUUUUAUCUAAGCUAACAUUGAUAGGCUCAUCUCCUUUGCUAUCGAAGUUCGUAUUCAAAGUGUUUCAGCCUUCCCAAGAACGAGAUUUCUAUCAAAUCAACCCGGAAAUGGAAUGAUUCGAACAAAAAUCAAAAUGGGAGAUUAUUUCGGCGAUGAAGGUGAUGAUUGGGAGACCAAACGUUGCAAGGCUAUACAGUUUCUUCUUUAAGGAGAUGCACUUCUUACAUAUGUUUGAUAUUACUGGAGGAAGCGAGAUUGAAUUUCGCCCUUUUAUCAAAUCGUCUGAGGAUUCGCAACGAAUGAUUGACCACCUUUCAGGGUUUACACAGGAGGAGGCACCGACUAUUGUUCUUUAAGAAUGUGCCUUGUGAAUGGUUUGCUGACUAUCAAUCAAUGGAGAAUCUUCGAGCUUAUUUUCAUACUCUUGGGAGACUUAGAAUAAUGUAUCAAGGAUGGUCGACUAUGAUUUGGCAUUGAAGGACUUGCCAGAUUCUAGCAUCUCCCAAGAAAUGUUCACCAACAACAGUGUUUCUUUAAAGAAGGAUGAUUAUGUGUCAAUGAGCAAGGAAACUUUCAAGGGGCAGGACAUGCAGAGGAGGUGAAGUAUUUGAAAGCUAAGAUGGAGGCAUCUCUUGCUGGUUAACCUCACUAAGUUGUUAUGAUGAAACUAUUUAUUCUGCAUUAGCCUUUUGCCUUUUGUGAACAGAAUGUUGUCCAUGUAUAUAUUGCUCCACGGUGCUGUGUAUAUUGUUCCCCAUAGCGAUUUUUCUAGGUGCAGGACAGGAUAUGCAUGCUCUGAUGAUUCAAAUGACACAACUUGCGGAGGGGUUAAAGUUUUUGAAAGCUAAGAUGGAGGUAUCUCUUGCUGAUUAAUAUCACUAACAAGUUGUGAUGAAACUAUUUAUUCUGCUUUAGCUUUUUACCUUUUGUGAACAGAAUGUUGUCUGUGGAGCUGUGUAUUGCUCCCCAUAGCUGUUUAUAUCUGACUACGGAGCUGUGUUAUUCUGCCUUGUUCCUUUUUGGAGGAAUUGGAAGUUAUGAAAGGUGAUUAUAUGUAUGUAUUUUCUGUGUUGUGAUCAGUAUCUACCCUAACUUGCAUAUAUAUAUAUAUAUGAAAUGUAAAUGCAAUUAUAUUUUAAGAUUUUUUUUUUUUAAUUUUUACGGGAAUAUUUUAAGAUCAAAAUUACUAGAGUUAUAUAAAAAGUUUAUUUUGUCUUAAAGUUUAGUGAUUUUAAUUUGAAUAUUUAUCCUUCUACAAAUGAACAUGAUGUCAAACUAAAAUGAUCAUUUAUGAUAAAUUAAAUUACUAGCCAUAAUAUUCAUUAAAGAUCAUUCUAAUUAGCAAAAUAAUAGUAUUAAUUGAUAAUU